UAAGUGAGCGACACCACAUACAGUACUCCAGGAGCACAGGAUGAGCUCCUCCUGUGCUCCUCUCACUGAUCACCAAUGAAAGAGGUGCCCCUUCCAGAAGUGCAGUGGGGGCCAGAUAAAUGGCCUCAGGGGGCCACAUGUGGCCAUAGUUUGGGGACCCCUGCUUUAUACCACCUAACUAUCUCUGCUCUUACUUGGUCCUUAGAACUACAAUGUAAGGAGGAUAAACAUUAUUCUGCAGUCAUUCGUCAUUUACUCCUUAGUGGGAAAGAAGAAAUGAAAAUAAGUUUGAAGGUGAUAAGAAGAGAACCUGAGAAUCCUGGGUAUUUGGAAUGAGAAAAGAGCAGAAUCAUAGGGAAGAGAAGAUAAAUAGGAGACUGGAAAUCCAAAAUAAAUUACCUAAUUGACAA